CAUCAGUCCACGCACAGCUUCCGUCCCCCGUCAGUCCACGCACAGCUUCCGUCCCCCGUCAGUCCACGCACAGCUUCUGUCUCCCGUCAGUCCGGUACUCCAGCAGCGGUGAAAAUCUCCUCAGUUCUUGUCUGUUCCAUCAGGCCAGCCCACCAUCUGAGCCCCAAACUCGAGUGCUCACCCUGCAGCCCGGGUUGGGAUGUCUGUGCUCCAGGCUGGAGACCACAGUGAACCUCCGCACAGAUGUGCCUCCACCACCAGCUGUGUGCCUGCUGCUCUGUAGCCCCUGGGAUUCACAGCUCUCUCUCCCUCCCUUCCUCCCUCCCCCACCCUUCUCCACAGCCUUCCUUCCUCCCCUCCCGCUUCACAAGAGCACAUUGAACACCACCUCUGUCAUGUCCCAAGCCAGGCACCAAGGUCACAAGCAUAUUCCACUCCUCCCACCCUUCAAGUGCUCACAGGUUACUGGAAGAGAAACAAGUAAACAGGUCUUCAGGACACAAGAGACA
rnacentral:lncRNA from 1 species